CAGUAGCCGCGGUAAUACGGAGGGUGCAAGCGUUAAUCGGAAUUACUGGGCGUAAAGCGUGCGUAGGCGGUUUGUUAAGUCUGUUGUGAAAUCCCCGGGCUCAACCUGGGAAUGGCAAUGGAUACUGGCAAGCUAGAGUGUGUCAGAGGAUGGUGGAAUUCCCGGUGUAGCGGUGAAAUGCGUAGAGAUCGGGAGGAACAUCAGUGGCGAAGGCGGCCAUCUGGGACAACACUGACGCUGGGGCACGAAAGCGUGGGGAGCAAACAGGAUUAGAGACCCGCGUAGUCCCUGUCUCUUAUAC
rnacentral:rRNA from 1 species